UACGGGGGGGGCAAGCGUUGUUCGGAAUUACUGGGCGUAAAGGGCGCGUAGGCGGUCUGUUAAGUACCUUGUGAAAUCCCCCGGCUCAACCGGGGAACGGCUGGGUAUACUGGCGGUCUUGAGCCACCUAGGGGCGAGCGGAACAAGCGGUGGAGCGGUGAAAUGCGUAGAUAUCGCUUGGAACGCCGACGGUGAAAACAGCUCGCUGGGGGUGUGCUGACGCUGAGACACGAAAGCCAGGGGAGCGAACGGG
rnacentral:rRNA from 1 species